rnacentral:piRNA from 1 species
GGAAAAGAUAGGUGAUACCACUUUGACAGC